UUCAGGACGUAGAACCGCCCCGGUAGAUACAGUUGAUUUGGAGAAAUAUCUUUUUGUAUCCAGCCCUUUCAGCCAGAGGAUUUUGAAAUGGAGCUGAAGUCUCAACUUAUGGGGAGCCCAAGUCGUUGAAUGUUGAAAAGUGAGCUAUUCCAUCGAGUUUCCUCUUCACCUUCAAAGAGGAAGAUAGUCGAUCCGCCAACAUCAACAUAGCAGAAAGAAGUUGAGCUGAGAGUCCAAUCCCAUCAACAUCAAGCUCAGCACUAGGAACAAGUACAAAUCCCACUGCUGCUAAUGAAGAUGACCUUGACACCAGCUUUAAUAGAAAAGAGCCUGCACACCCAUUGGAUGAAAGCUUUCAGACGGGAACAAGCUCAAACUCAACAUCAUUAGACUCGGAAACAAGGCAGGACAGCCAAAAGAGACUUGCAGUGCAAGCAAAUGUUCUGCAAGAGGUCAAAGCAGUGGGUGAUGAAGAAAGGGUACGAGCCCAGAACCCACCACUUCAGGGAGAGGCUUGUCCACCUGGCUGUGGAGCGCAGAAAGGACCAGACGGUUGUCUACAAGAAGCCAUAGUCGCAGCUCCCCAAACCCAACAGCCCAGCUAACGUCGCCAAAGCCUGCUAAACCAGCUGGUAAACUGCCAGAAUAUGUUUCUAAACAUUUCUACAUUAAUGUGGAUGCUACCAUGAUUACGGAUAAUCCUGAAUGAAUCGUGAAUAAUGAUGAUUGAGAAAGUUAGUCGCACAAAUAUCAUACCCCCAAAAGAUGCUAACCUCCCCUGUUAUUUCUAUUGUCAGAGGUUAGCAUGUCUUGUGGGUAUGAUAUUUGUGCAUCUGUGAGUUUCUCACUCAUUAUUCACGACUCAUUCAGGAUUAUCCAUAUGGUAGUAUCCACAUUAAUGUAGAAGUGUUUAAAAGCAUACUCUAUUCAUAGUUACAAUAAAAGUAACUCCAAAAUUAUACAUGAAUCAUUUACCAUUAAUUUAUAUUGGGCACAAAAUAAGCUGAAACACAACCAAAACAAACAGCAAAUGCAUCCAAAAAUUUGUAGAAUCACAAGCUUGAUGUAGUCAUUGCGUGCUAUGAAUAUGGGACCAAAUACUUUUUACCACUUUUAUAAACGUAAGUGAAUUUGUCCCAAUACCUUUGGUCCCCUAACAUGGGGCGACUAUGUACAAAAAGUGCUGUAAUUUCUAAACUGUUCACCAGAUAUUUAUGGAAAUACUCUCAAAUUAAAGUUGACUGUCUGCACUUUAA